rnacentral:rRNA from 1 species
UACGGAGGGAGCUAGCGUUAUUCGGAAUUACUGGGCGUAAAGCGCACGUAGGCGGCCUUGCAAGUUAGAGGUGAAAGCCUGGAGCUCAACUCCAGAACUGCCUUUAAAACUGCAUCGCUUGAAUCCAGGAGAGGUGAGUGGAAUUCCGAGUGUAGAGGUGAAAUUCGUAGAUAUUCGGAAGAACACCAGUGGCGAAGGCGGCUCACUGGACUGGUAUUGACGCUGAGGUGCGAAAGCGUGGGGAGCAAACAGG